CUUGGCUUCUGCCAGGUUCGGUGCCCUUCAGCCACGGGGGCAGCCGAUGGCACCUUCCCUGCCCCUCUCGCCCCCUAAUUGCAUUCCCCACCCCUGCCGCCAGGGCGGAGCACCCCCUCUCAUGAUGAGCCUGCCUCAUUUUCUCCGGUGAGACUCCCCCAGAGGCAGCCCUUCCUGUCCCCGGUGUCCCCCGCCGAGGAGACUGUGCGCUGCGGGGUUGGUCACCGCCGUCCCGAGUGUGCUACGGCUGCGCGUUCGGUGCAGAGCCCGGGGCCCCCGCUCGAGGCUGGGGGGCUGGGUGAGCGUGCUGGGGAGGGGGUGUCCGGGUCGCCCACGCCGCGUGCUGCCGAGGCUGCGUCUGGGGCGCGCCGCUCCCGCCCAGCCUCACCGGAGGGGACGCGUCGCAGGUGCUCCCGGACGAUGGAGACGUCCGCGCCGAGGGUGGGAGUCCGCGCUUCCGGGUGUGUCUGCAGCUCCGGGUGCUGUAGGGUGGGGUGGGACCCCGAGACGGCGGCCUGGCACGUGAUGUGUGUGUGUCCUUGUCUGAUGUGUCGGUGUCCCUGACGGACCGGGUUCCAGUCCCAGCUCUGCUGUUCCCGGCUGUGUGCCCUGGGAAAGGUGACUGCUCCCUUUCUGUGCCUCAGUUUCCUCACCUGUACAAGGGGCAUGAUAAAAGUGCCCGUCUCCGAGGGCUGUUGUGAGGAUUAAAAGGUAAUACGUGUAAAGCGCUGAGAACAAUGCCUGGCGCCAGUAAAUACGCAUAAGAAUAAAUAAAUAAAAUCAACUA
rnacentral:lncRNA from 1 species